rnacentral:lncRNA from 1 species
GUGCAGAGACAACAGGCUGCCUUGCUAAACGAUGCACACCUGUAACUCACGUGACCCUGAUUAUUAUUGAAACGAGAACGAGGGCGUCGUGCCUUUAUAAGACUGCGUUAAUGUUUCCGUGGAGUUAUCCCGUCCGUUGUUGUUUAUUGAUUGUUAAACAUGGCUUCAUUUGCAAAGGUGGUUGUGUGUGUCCUCAUUGCUUGUGUCUGUAAUGCAUUCUGUUUUCCGAAGAGAGAUGUGAACUUUAAGCCCUCUGCAGUUGACCGCCAAAGUGAUGAUGUGGUUGUCACCACAACACCUGUUCCCCACAACCAGACCACAUCUGCCCAUACUGAAGCUGGUGGUGGUGCAAGUGAAGAUGCUGUGGCUACUACCCCAGCACCUAUUCCACACAACCAGACAACUUCUGAAGUUACUGAUGGAGCCAGUGAAGAUGCUGUGGACCGCCAAAAUGAUGAUGUGGUUGUCGCCACAACACCCGAUCCCCACAACCAGACCACAUCUGCCAAUACUGAAGCUGGUGGUGGUGCAAGUGAAGAUGCUGUGGCUACUACCCCAGCACCUAAUCUACACAACCAGACAACUUCUGCACAAACUGAAGUUACUGAUGGAGCCAGUGAAGAUGCUGUGGACCGCCAAAGUGAUGUGGUUGUCGCCACAACACCCGAUCCCCACAACCAGACCACAUCUGCCCAUACUGAAGCUGGUGCAAGUGAAGAUGCUGUGGCUACCACCCCAGCACCAAAUCCCCCAACUACAUCUGACCACACUGCAGCUACCGAUGAUGCAAGUGAGGGUGCUGUGGCUGCCCAAACUGGAACUACUGUAUCCCAUACGACUGAAGUCUGAUUCGACUGCUCCUCUGGUCACAAUGACCUGAGUCACUGUCUGGACUUUUUGCCUCUACAUGUUCACUGCAAUAAAGGACAGAUUUGUUUUUUUUAAUCA